GAUGAACGCUGGCGGCGUGCCUAAUACAUGCAAGUCGAGCGAACAGACGAGGAGCUUGCUCCUCUGACGUUAGCGGCGGACGGGGGAGUAACACGUGGAUAACCUACCUAUAAGACUGGGAUAACUUCGGGAAACCGGAGCUAAUACCGGAUAAUAUAUUGAACCGCAUGGUUCAAUAGUGAAAGACGGUUUUGCUGUCACUUAUAGAUGGAUCCGCGCCGCAUUAGCUAGUUGGUAAGGUAACGGCUUACCAAGGCAACGAUGCGUAGCCGACCUGAGAGGGUGAUCGGCCACACUGGAACUGAGACACGGUCCAGACUCCUACGGGAGGCAGCAGUAGGGAAUCUUCCGCAAUGGGCGAAAGCCUGACGGAGCAACGCCGCGUGAGUGAUGAAGGUCUUCGGAUCGUAAAACUCUGUUAUUAGGGAAGAACAAAUGUGUAAGUAACUAUGCACGUCUUGACGGUACCUAAUCAGAAAGCCACGGCUAACUACGUG
rnacentral:rRNA from 1 species